GCACAGCAGUCGCGAAACCUUUACAAUGUCUUCACGGACGAUAGGGGAAUCCUGAGUGCUCUAGCAUUGCUAGAGCUUUUGCUUACUGAAAAAGGUAGGCGAAUAAGUGGUGGGUAAGACGGGUGCCAGCCGCCGCGGUAAUACCCGCGCCACAAGUGGUGACCACGUUUAUUGGGUCUAAAGCGUUCGUAGCCGGCCUGAUAAAUUCUCGGUGAAAUCCUGUGUAAAUCAUAGGGCGUGCCGGGAAGACUGUCAAA
rnacentral:rRNA from 1 species